UGCUGCAGUGUUUAUUUAUAAGUU
rnacentral:misc_RNA from 1 species